rnacentral:rRNA from 1 species
GAAUUCACUAGUGAUUGGGAUCGCCCUUCUCCUACGGGAGGCAGCAGUUAGGAAUCUUCCGCAAUGGACGGAAGUCUGACGGAGCGACGCCGCUUGGAGGAGGAAGCCCUUCGGGGUGUAAACUCCUGAACUGGGGACGAAAGCCCUGAUGAGGGGGAUGACGGUACCCAGGUAAUAGCGCCGGCCAACUCCGUGCCAGCAGCCGCGGU